rnacentral:lncRNA from 1 species
GUAUUCUUUCACACUAGCUGGCCUUAUGUUAUCUGCAGUUUCGAGGUGCACUGUCACACUCUGUGGUGGAUAACAUCCACUCUUCGUUUAUGUAAUGGGCUGUAAGACACAGGUAUCCUAUUUUUCGAAAAUCGUCAGUCCACAUGUCAAGUGUAAUUGCGCCAUUGCAUCAACCCCUACAAAUAUAUUCUAAUGUAUUAUAAUGCACAUAAUAAUUCAAAUAAAAUUUGCUGUAGCUAUAGGAGAGAGACUGCAUGCUAAAGACAAAUAGAAAUAAUGUGUCUUUAAGACUGCAUUAUAUGACUUAUGAAUGAGUCACUCAGCCCUAUGCUUCUGUUCCUGCUUCUGUUGCCUAUUUGAGUGUUUGUUUAAUAUCCUACUGAUUCUGUGGUCACCAAGCCCCAUGCAACCGUAAAAUGUUGGAUAAAGAACUUUCACAAAUCCGUCUGUUUUUAAACUUUGCUAUGCUGUAUUAAAGGCUUUGCGAUGUUUUUCAUUAGAACAGACUCUAUGCUAUUACUUCUACUUUAGUGUUAUUUACACUGUUCCAAACUGGCAGAUAGAUUACAAUAUAAUUUAACAGCACUUGCUUGUCAUGCAACAAUGAUUGUCUCUUGCACAAUGAUUUUACAUGAGGCCUAAUUCACAUGAUAUGCCUAAAAUACUUAUAUCCCCUAGGCUAAUAAAUAAAUCAUAUUUUUCCUUUCAAUUGUUUAAUUGCUCUAUAUCAUGAUAUUUCAAGUUUUCCCUUUGGAGCACAUGCAAAAGCGAUUUGGAGUUGUUGAGCGGGAGUGACAAAAUGUAUUACAAUUCCGUGCGCACACUCCAAAAAAUGUUUUUGUUUUUUCUACUUAGUCAGAAGAAGCUGUAAAUGGACCAUGUAACACGCAUAUAGACGCACAUACAAUAUUUGUUCAUCAACAUCUUUAUGUUUUCGUUAAUAAAAUAACGAUAAAAAAACACUUCCAAAUGUAGAUGUUUAUUUAAACUACUUCCCGCAAGCUCCACGACCACAGGUAAAACCUUGCUUAGAUUAUCAAUAAAUAAAUGGUGACUUCUGACUUGUUGCAUCUUACGGACAAUUUGGAGUAUUAUUGAUUACUGUGAAGGUCGGGUUUGGAUCAGUUUAUGUAGAUAUUUGUCGUAUCCUUCAGUGUUGCACCUGCAGGUCCAUUGGAUGUUUUGACUAUUUAUUCCAGAUUGAUUCCCCGAUAUAUAACAAACACGUAGCCUAUGCAAUGGGUAAGGUGCAAGCUAUAUAGACCUUUUUAUGUUGAGGGAAUCUCGUAUUCAUAAAUUGGCUCCAAAGCUGAUCAAAAAAGGCAAGAAUGGUCGUAAUUUUAAUUCGUCAAGCCGAUGAAAUACUUGAUUGCUGGUAAACAAUCGGCCUGAAAAAACGAAUUCUAGAGGUUAGUGUGCAUUUGCAUGGCAAAGGGAAAUGCAUGGCAAAGGGAAAUAUACGCAUUUUGGAAUUAUUUUCUGUAAUAAUGCAUUCAAAAAAGAUUUAUUGGGAAAAGAAAGCAAAAUGUGAAAAAUGCCUCAGAGCAAGAUGAGAUGCUUUUUAAGAACCAAUAUAAAGUGCUAGAAAAAGUGUGUCAAGACACUGGAGCACCGGGCCAAAUAGUGUCCCCCUCUGCGUCACAAUGGGAUUCGAUGAGUUCUAGCUUCUGUUGCUAGGGGUGUAAGAACAUAUUGUUAAAUAUGAAUGAAUAAUUUAAGCUGUUUUUAGAUUGACGUUGCUAGCUACUGUAUUUAUUUUUCUCAGCCUGCCUAGUCAGCUAGCUAGCUAGCCAGACAGUUUUAUUUAGCUAACGUUAGCUAGCUACUGUACCUGUUAUUGUAGCUUUCUGUUUGUAUGUAGCUUGCACUUCAAUGGCAUCCCUCGAUGAGAUUUUAUUUUAUCUUUCCAACCAGGUGAAGUACUCAGAAAAAACACCACUGAUCUCGAAAAGAGGCGUAACAUUCUGAGAAAUUCACAAUUCAGGGCAAUCAUAUCUACCUACGGGGGAAGGAUGGCCAGACACACAGGACGGUGAUUUCUACUAAGGAGGAGAGGAGGCCGUGCUGACCGAGAUGCAUGCUGGCCAUUUCGCAGUGAAGCGCAUGAUUGCCAAAAUCAACCUACGCUUCUUCUGACGGGGAAUUGUCAAGAAGGUGGACAGCUGGGCAAGUGAAAUAACCUUUUGUUUAUCAAUCACAGGGUUCAAUUCUCGGGCCGACUUUCUUCUCUGUAUACAUCAAUGAUGUCGCUCUUGCUGUUGGUGAUUCUCUGAUCCACCUCUACGCAGAUGACACCAUUCUGUAUACUUCUGGCUCUUCUUUGGACACUGUUAUCUAACCUCCAGACGAGCUUCAAUGCCAUACAACUCUCCUUCCGUGGCCUCCAACUGCUCUUAAAUGCAAGUAAAACUAAAUGCAUACUCUUCAACCGAUCGCUGCCCGCACCUGCCCGCCCGUCCAGCAUCACUACUCUGGACGGUUCUGACUUAGAAUAUGUGGACAACUACAAAUACCUAGGUGUCUGGUUAGACUGUAAACUCUCCUUCCAGACUCACAUUAAGCAUCUCCAAUUCAAAAUUAAAUCUAAAAUUGGCUUCCUAUUUUGCAACAAAGCAUCCUUCAUUCAUGCUGCCAAACAUACCCUUGUAAAACUGACCAUCCUAUCCAUCCUCGAUUUCGGCGAUGACAUUUACAAGAUAGCCUCCAACACUCUAUUCAACAAACUGGAUGCGGUCUAUCACAGUGCCAUCCAUUUUGUCACCAAAGCCCCAUAUACUACCCACCACUGCGACCUGUACGCUCUCGUUGGCUGGCCCUUGCUUCAUACUCGUCGCCAAACCCACUGGCUACAGGUCAUCUACAAGUCUUUGCUAGGUAAAGCCCCGCCUUAUCUCAGCUCACUGGUCACCAUAGCAGCACCCACCCGUAGCACACUCUCCAGCAGGUAUAUUUCACUGGUCACCUCCAAAGCCAAUUCCUCCGUUGGCCGCCUUUCUUUCCAGUUCUCUGCUGCCAAUGACUGGAACGAACUGCAAAAAUCACUGAAGCUGGAGACUCAUCUCCCUCACUAGCUUUAAGCACCAGCUGUCAGAGCAGCUCACAGAUCACUGCACCUGUACAUAGCCCAUCUGUAAAUAGCACAGCAUAGCCCAAUAUCAUACUGUAUUUAUUUAUUUAUUUAUCUUGCUCCUUUGCACCCCAGUAUCUCUACUUGCACAUUCAUCUUUUGCACAUCUAUCACUCCAGUGUUUAAUUGCUAUAUUGUAAUUACUUCGCCACCAUGGCCUAUUUAUUGCCUUACCUCCCUUACCUCAUUUGCACACACUGUAUAUAGACUUUUUCUACUGUAUUAUUGACUGUAUUUUUGUUUAUUCCAUGUGUAACUCUGUUGUAUGUGUCGAACUGCUUUGCUUUAUCUUGGCCAGGUCGCAGUUGUAAAUGAGAACUUGUUCUCAACUAGCCCACCUUGUUAAAUGAAGAUCAGUACACUGUGUAGCCUGCCAGAAGUUUGAGAGGGCGAAGACUGUGGCGCCGGAGUUGAAGCCCAUCAAAGUUGUUUCACCAUGGCACAUGAUCGGUAAGUGUCCCAAUUCAAAUUUUGCCCUGAUAAGUUGGUUUGUAAUGUUUGCUUUAUUUGACAGGAGAGUUCAAUAUUAUAGAAUGUGUAUGUGUGUGUCAGUAUCCUUGCAAAUAUGAAAAGCUGCAUACUGUAUGACACAGAUACGGUAAGAAUAAAGUAAUCUUCUCUCUAAAACUUAAAAUGUUAUGGGUGGACCUCAUCGGACCCUUCACGAAAUCCAGGAAUGGCAACAGCUGGUGUCUGACGGUGACCGAUCACUUUACCAAGUGGGUGGAGGCAAUACCCAUUAAGAUCAGUAAAGGAAGAGUAUGUUCUUAACUCGGAAUUCCCUUCUGUAACCCAUUAAAAAGGGUGGUUGGAACAAAUAAAUAUAUUUUCGUUUUGUAUGAUACCUAUCAAGGACGAGACUGGCAAGGCCACCUCCAAGGCGAUGGUGGACAUCUGCAACACACAUGGUUCUCCUGAGGUCAUCUUGAGUGACCGAGGUCAUGAGCGCUGGAACAAGGUUUGGUGAAUGGACCAUCCAGACCCUCAAGGCUGCCAUGGACAAGUCCCUUGAUUGGUACCUGGAAGAGUGGGAGAAAAACCUGAAAGUAAUUCUCUUUGCACACAACAGCAGCAUCCAGGCCUCCACAAACAAAGAUAACUGAAACCCCACUUGAUGUGAUGGAAGUUGUCGAACCAGAUCUGAAUGCCUUCGAGGUCCAGUUCAGGCAUGGACUGAGAAGGAUGUGGUUUUUGACCAGGUGAGACUGAACAUGGACAAGGCGCAGGAAAAACAGAAGGAGAGCUACCGAAGCAGAAUCAAGAAGGGGACCAAGUGCUACGACAUCCGGGCAAUUUACUUGGCUUGGAAGAAGGACGAAAGGAAGGCGAGACCUGGGAAACCUCGCUGUUUUUUCGCUCCUAGCUGGGGUCACCAUCUGUUAAAGGUUACCUCAGCGGAAGUCAACAAUCUUCUACAGUUGGAGCAGUUUGACGGUCGACCACUGAAAGCAGUGACGCCCUACACUUCAGUGAAGCCCAAUAGACAAAGACCAUCGACUGUCCGAGCCCCCCCAGGAGGUAUCCCAUCCACCAGAACCAGUGAGUCCGGAUCAGUCUGAUUCUCUGUGCGCUGAGUCGGAGGGGGACCAGCUUGAGGAGCUGGAGGUUCUGCCCAACACCCAGACAUGGAUCCACCUGAUGUCCUCCAUUACCAACCACCCUCCAACUUUUCAUUAAAUAUUCUACAGCUACUGAUGUUGUCAUUAUCUGCUAAGAAAGUGAGAUAAUAUAUGAGAUAAAUCAAAUCGUAUUGGUCACAUACACGUGUUUAGCAGAUGUUAUUGAGGGUGUAGUGAAAUGCCUGAGUUUCUAGCUCCGACAGUGCAGUAAUAUCUAACAAGUAACAUCUAACAAUUUCACAACAUAUACACACAAAUCUAAGUAAAGGAAUGGAAUUAAGAAUAUAUAAAUGUAUGGAUGAGCAAUGUCAGUGGCAUAGACUAAGAUUCAGUAGAAUGGUAUAGAAUACAGUAUAUACAUAUGAGAUGGGUAAUGCAAGAUAUGUAAACAUUACAUUUUACAUUUUACAUUUAAGUCAUUUAGCAGACGCUCUUAUCCAGAGCGACUUACAAAAUGGUGCAUUCACCUUAUGAUAUCCAGUGGAACAACCACUUUACA